rnacentral:rRNA from 1 species
CCUACGGGAGGCAGCAGUAGGGAAUCUUCCACAAUGGACGAAAGUCUGAUGGAGCAACGCCGCGUGAGUGAAGAAGGGUUUCGGCUCGUAAAGCUCUGUUGGUAGUGAAGAAAGAUAGAGGUAGUAACUGGCCUUUAUUUGACGGUAAUUACUUAGAAAGUCACGGCUAACUACGUGCCAGCAGCCGCGGUAAUACGUAGGUGGCAAGCGUUGUCCGGAUUUAUUGGGCGUAAAGCGAGUGCAGGCGGUUCAAUAAGUCUGAUGUGAAAGCCUUCGGCUCAACUGGAGAAUUGCAUCAGAAACUGUUGAACUGGAGUGCAGAAGAGGAGAGUGGAACUCCAUGUGUAGCGGUGGAAUGCGUAGAUAUAUGGAAGAACACCAGUGGCGAAGGCGGCUCUCUGGUCUGCAACUGACGCUGAGGCUCGAAAGCAUGGGUAGCGAACAGGAUUAGAUACCCCAGUAGUC